rnacentral:rRNA from 1 species
GACGAACGCUGGCGGCGUGCUUAACACAUGCAAGUCGAACGGAAAGGCCCUGCUUGCAGGGUGCUCGAGUGGCGAACGGGUGAGUAACACGUGGGUGAUCUGCCCCUUAUUUUGGGAUAAGCCUGGGAAACUGGGUCUAAUACUGGAUAGGACCAUGCUGUAGGUGGUGUGGUGGAAAGAUUAGUUUCGGUAAGGGAUGAGCUCGCGGCCUAUCAGCUUGUUGGUGGGGUAAUGGCCUACCAAGGCGUCGACGGGUAGCCGGCCUGAGAGGGUGGACGGCCACAUUGGGACUGAGAUACGGCCCAGACUCCUACGGGAGGCAGCAGUGGGGAAUAUUGCACAAUGUGCGCAAGCCUGAUGCAGCGACGCCGCGUGGGGGAUGACGGCCUUCGGGUUGUAAACUCCUUUCAGCCAUGACGAAGCCCUUGUGGUGACGGUAGUGGUAGAAGAAGCACCGGCUAACUACGUG